rnacentral:rRNA from 1 species
UACGUAGGGUGCAAGCGUUGUUCGGAAUUAUUGGGCGUAAAGAGCUCGUAGGCGGUUUGUUGCGUCGGCUGUGAAAACCUGGGGCUUAACUCCGGGCCUGCAGCCGAUACGGGCAGACUAGAGUUCGGCAGGGGAGACUGGAAUUCCUGGUGUAGCGGUGAAAUGCGCAGAUAUCAGGAGGAACACCGGUGGCGAAGGCGGGUCUCUGGGCCGAUACUGACGCUGAGGAGCGAAAGCGUGGGGAGCGAACAGG